ACGGAAGGCAGCAGUGGGGAAUAUUGGGCAAUGGGCGAAAGCUUGACCCAGCAAUGCCGCGUGAAGGAAGAAGGUCUUCGGAUUGUAAACUUCUUUUAUGAGGGACGAAGGAAUUGACGGUACCUCAUGAAUAAGCCACGGCUAACUACGUGCCAGCAGCCGCGGUAAUACGUAGGUGGCAAGCGUUAUCCGGAUUUACUGGGUGUAAAGGGCGCGUAGGCGGGGAAGCAAGUCAGAUGUGAAAUCUAUGGGCUUAACUCAUAAACUGCAUUUGAAACUGUUUCUCUUGAGUGCUGGAGAGGUAGAUGGAAUUCCUAGUGUAGCGGUGAAAUGCGUAGAUAUUAGGAAGAACACCAGUGGCGAAGGCGAUCUACUGGACAGUAACUGACGCUGAGGCGCGAAAGCGUGGGGAGCAAACAGGAUUAGAUACCCUGGUA
rnacentral:rRNA from 1 species